UCUGGUGAUUUUAGCAAGAGUGUAACACUCCAUCCCAUCUCGAACUGGACAGUGAAAAACCUUAGCGCCGAUGGUACUGCAUCUUAAGGUGUGGGAGAGUAGGUCGUUGCCAGAU
rnacentral:rRNA from 1 species